AGCACUGCCUGCGCUGCUCUUCCUGUCACAUUGAUGCCAAUUGACUGAGGUAGCUGUCCACACGGUGCAGCCAGAGCCAAUUGACUUCUGACCCACCCGUGUAACAAAGCAGUGCCUCCCAAUGUUCCUGAAUCAAUAUGGCCUCUCCGCAUCACAGCAGCAGCGCUCAGAUUGGCUCCCCCUAUGCUGACCUUCCCGAGAGCCCGAGCGCACAUCGACUGGUCGGGGAGGAGGAAAUGUGCAAGUCCUGGGCAACUUUGCAUGGACGGGUAGUUGUUUUCAAAGAUACAACCUGCACUCUAUCUGAACUUCUAUUUUUAGAAUAUAUUCACAUACAUUCUUGACUUUUGACUUGCGUUUUCCCAUUGAACUAUAAAGGUGAGUUGGGACUGCCUACUUUAAAGCUCCAUUAGGCAAAUGA